CAGUUGAUCUGGAGCACGUGCGCACAGUAAAGAUGGAGAAGCAUCAGCGAUUCUGUCAGGAGAACGGACUCAUCAGUCAGUUUGUGUCUGCGAAGUCAGGAGACUCUGUGUUUCUGUGUUUCCAGAGGCUGGCGGCUGAGAUUGUGGGCAUCAAGCUGAAUAAGGCUGAGAUGGAGCAGGCUCAGCCCGUGGUUAAAGCAGACAUCGUGAACUACAGUCAGGAGACGCUGACUCGAACCCUCAACCCUCUGCGCAGCUCCAUGUGUGUCAUUCAGUGAUCAUCACACAGCGUCUCCGUCUCGCUCGCGUCUGUCCUCUCUCUGUGUCCUGUAACGGACACACGGAUCCUGCUUCACACUUCCCUCCUCUUUCUUUGAUGUUCCUUUGCCAAUUGGACAUUGUGAGACACUAAAAUAAUCUUUAAUGUGUGCGAGAACCAGAGCUUUCACGUGUUUGCUUGUGUGACUCGAGACGGAUCCUCAUCCUCAUUAGAGGAAUGUUGUGUAUAAAUGCCUCUGGAGUUCGUUCAGCCGAGAACGAGCCGAGAUCUCACAUCUGCGGGAGAAUUCACUCGCACCGACGGAGAACUGACUUCCUCCGCUCAGAGGUUAGAGCAGACGAGUGUGUUAGUGAGCGUGUGUGUGUGUGUGUGUGUGUGUGUGUGUGUGAGAGAGAGUAAUAAGAGGAAGUACCUUUAUAGAAAACCAUUCUGAUGCAGUUCAAUAUAAAUAACUCUUCACAUUGAGCAUCACAAUCGUAAUGACUUGUUUUACACUGUAUUUUUAAUGCUUUUUAAAUUUAAUUUGGCAAAUCUGGAGGGAAUAUCUCAAAUGCAUGGACACCCCCCCCUCCCUGUGUUCAUGACUGAUAUUAGACGUUUAUGAGCAUCAUAUUGGAGCCGUGAUCUGCAGUAAAGCAGGAGUCACACAGAGACGUCUUGUGUAGAGUGUUUGCAGACGGCCUGUUAACUCUAUUUGAGUGAUUUGUUGGUUUGUGUGAGCGUGAGUGUUUUCAUUUCCACGGGAUCCUGUACUUGGAGAAGUUUCAUUGUAUGAUCUCUGAAUAUUAGCUGUAUUUGUAAACUCAGGCCUGUCCAGGUGUUGUAGAGCGCUGUCGUUUAGGAAUAAAUGUCACGACACACGUUGACAUGGAUUUCAGUUUUUUUUCUCUCUUCCCUCUCCAUCAUCUUCAUUCCACUGGAAAAGUAAAAUAUGUCUUUUCCAAAUCCCACGGUCAGAAGAUGUAUUAAUGCGGAGGAGGAUGUAGACAUGUGGUCAGGAAUAUUGUCCAAUAUUAAUAUCAUUCAAACGUCUGCCUGUAAUUUACUGAAACGUGAUGCCAGUGAGUAAUUGUGCUUGAAAUAGUCUCGUCUUGACAGCACUUACACACGAGCUGCUCAGAACGAGUCCAGCGCUCAUCACUUCUUCUGAUGGAGAACUAACACACACUCCAAACUUCAGUGUUCAUGUGGUCCACAUGUCAUGUGUUUCACACGAUCAGUUUGUUAAGAUGGGAAUGGUUCCUCUUGACCUUCACUAAGAGAGAAGAAACAUGUUCACUGCACUGCAAAAUAAUUUAUUAUAGUAACUAUCAUAGGUGCAUCUUUGUAAUGUUUCUGCACUGGAAAAACAUGCGUUCACACCGAGAAUGGUAACUAUAUUAGCAUUCACACCGAUCACAAUAAUGUUUACUGUAAGUGUGCUGUAGUUUAUCAUCUGCCGCUUUAUAUGCUGGGACUCUGUAAAGUUUGUUAAUCAGCUGAAAAAUAAACAUUUUAAACCAUA